ACUGAAGGCAAAUCUCGCACGCACUCUGAACUGCCCUCCUGAAAAGGCUUUUAAUCGUAUUAUUUACUUAUUUAUACCUUUCUACCGAGAAACAGACGCAUCAGAUUGUUGCAAAACGAAUCCCGAUUGGCCGGCUGCCCUUGACCUUUGACCUACAAUGAAGUAACAUUCUAGUUCCACGCACAUUCCACAGUGAUCUUUGUAGUCUGUGAGAGGUUACGACCUGUUAUAUCACCGUAACCAUCAGAACAUUUUGUACGUGGGAAAAGGAAAGAGGAGAAUGAAGACAAUAGCCCAUAUGUUCUCGUGAGAGGACGACGGAAACAGCCAAUGGAUAACCAUGAGAGGCCCCUCUCUCUGCAUCCCUUACUUCCGUUCAUGCCUCUUCGAUCUUCCUUUCACUACGUCACUCCAUCAUAUUUCUCUUCCUUUAUCUCAACGUUGGCCGUCAAUCCUUACAGCUCACAUGCCUGCGCACAAACACGACACAGAACCGCUCUUCUCCCGCUGUGUGCCACAGGGCUGAAUUGUCUCAUGUGAUCAGACUAACACAAUCAAACUUGUAUGUUAUUUUUCUCUUAUGCAUACACACGCACGCACACAGCUAGCCUUCCAGGCCUGAAACAGAAGCCUCUGCUAUACUACUCAGGCAGACACACCCAAGUAAAACAUGAACUCAUCUCCUUACAAACCCAAAUAUUAUAUUUAAAAAAAAAAGGCUGGCCGUCAUAGAUGGCUGAACAUUUCCAUGACUUACUGCGGUAACUGUAGAGACCAGAAAUCGCCUACUGCUAUUAGGUUAAGUAGGUUAUUGGCUGGGCCAUAAAUUGUUUUGUGUUGCAUUUAUGUUUUUCUUAAUAGAGCAGCAAAAUGCUACAGUAAAUGGAGUUCAUUUCGUUUCUCUCAUCAUUUAUGCACGCUUUCCGACCCCGUGUGAGGGAAUGGCCUUGCCUCGUUCUUUUUAUUUAUUUAUUUUUGCCACAUACAAUGAAAAUGAACGGUGCACACAGCCUGUCGUUCUUUUGUGUUCCGGAGAAGAAAGAAAGUCACAGGCUGCAGGCUUGCAACAACAGGACGAGUACACGAAGCGUUCCUUCGGCGUAGAACCAAGUGCCUGACACACAUUUCUCCUCGUUUACACGCGAAUAUAACGCUCGACCUCAUGCGGACAAACUGUUUACCUCGCUGGUGCCUCUGACGUCACGACACACCCCUCGCGCGCGUGAGCGCGUGUGAGUGAGCGUGAGUGUGUGUGCGCGCGCAGCAG